AUUGAACGCUGGCGGCAGGCCUAACACAUGCAAGUCGAGCGAGCGGCGGACGGGUGAGUAAUGUAUGGGAAACUGCCUGAUGGAGGGGGAUAACUACUGGAAACGGUAGCUAAUACCGCAUACCAUCAGAUGUACCCAUAUGGGAUUAGCUUGUAGGUAAGGUAACGGCUUACCUAGGCGACGAUCCCUAGCUGGUCUGAGAGGAUGAUCAGCCCAACUGGGAACGAGAAACGGCCCCGACUCCUAAGGGAGGCAGCCGUGGGGAAUAUUGGACAAUGGGCGCAAGGCUGAUGCCGCCAUGCCGCGGGUAGGAAGAAGGCCUUCGGGUUGGAAAGUAAUUUCCGGCGGGAGGCGGUACCGACAGAAGAAGCACCGGCCAAAUCCGUGCCAGCAGGCGCGGGAAUUC
rnacentral:rRNA from 1 species